UUUUCUCACUCGACCUGACGUGAAUUUGACUCAAAAGACAACAAAAAAUUUUUAUUUAAUGACAAGGACACAAAAAAUAAAAAAUUAAAACAAAAAGAAAAAGACAAUGGGCAUCUCUUUUUCAAAACAAAGAGAAAAAUUAUCUGAAUGGGGAAACCAAUUCUGGUGAUUAUGACAUGCAUUUUGAAUCAAACAACCAGAUCUACCCACACCAAUCAUUACAACUUUUGUCCACUUAUU
rnacentral:lncRNA from 1 species